AGUGAACGCUGGCGGUAGGCCUAACACAUGCAAGUCGAACGGCAGCACAGUAAGAGCUUGCUCUUACGGGUGGCGAGUGGCGGACGGGUGAGGAAUACAUCGGAAUCUACUUUUUCGUGGGGGAUAACGUAGGGAAACUUACGCUAAUACCGCAUACGACCUACGGGUGAAAGCAGGGGAUCUUCGGACCUUGCGCGAUUGAAUGAGCCGAUGUCGGAUUAGCUAGUUGGCGGGGUAAAGGCCCACCAAGGCGACGAUCCGUAGCUGGUCUGAGAGGAUGAUCAGCCACACGGGAACUGAGACACGGUCCAGACUCCUACGGGAGGCAGCAGUGGGGAAUAGUGGACAAUGGGCGCAAGCCUGAUCCAGCCAUACCGCGUGGGUGAAGAAGGCCUUCGGGUUGUAAAGCCCUUUUGUUGGGAAAGAAAAGCAGCAGGUUAAUACCCCGCUGUUCUGACGGUACCCAAAGAAUAAGCACCGGCUAACUUCGUG
rnacentral:rRNA from 1 species